CGGCUAUAAAUCACGAAAAUGAGAAAUUAUCGUUUGUUUAUUCGCAAAACGGUUUUUCGCUCCCGCACAGUCAAUGCGUAUUAUAAUAUAUUUUUACACUCGUAUACAUUAAUAUUAUGCAUUUUUUUUUUUUUUUUACGGCAUUUUCGAUGAAGCUCUUCUGCGUAGUGUUUUUAUUUUACAGAUUAAAUCGAGAAAAAAAAACAGCGUCGUGGAGUUGUUACGAUUUCCCUCUCGGAGAAAAACUUUUCCUCUCAGGCAACGGGUAACUUAUUUGAACAAUAUUGCUGUAAUCAUUCCGUAAUUAUUAGCAUUUCGAUUUUUUUUUCUCCCGUCCCGGGAACAAAACUCACUCGAACAAAGUCACUAAGUAGAUUAUUAUAAUAUGGCUUACCCAAAGCGGUUGUACAGAACGACAAAAAUAAUAUUUAAACGUUAUUGGAUAUUGUUUUAAAAAAAAAACCGAUUCUGAGUGGAGUAAUUCAAGUAGCAUUUUUCUUUUACCUGUGAUUACGGAUUACCCG